AGGACUCUACUUGACUAGCUGAGAGGAGGUGCAUGGCCGUCGUCAGUUCGUACUGUGAAGCAUCCUGUUAAGUCAGGCAACGAGCGAGACCCACGCCAACAGUUGCCAGCUCGUCCUCCGGGAUGGUGGGGACACUGUUGGGACCGCCUCUGCUAAAGAGGAGGAAGGAAUGGGCAACGGUAGGUCAGCAUGCCCCGAAUUAUCUGGGCUACACGCGGGCUACAAUGGGUGGGACAAUGGGUAUCGACACCGAAAGGUGAAGGCAAUCCUGAAAGCAGGCCUCAGUUCAGAUUGCAGUCUGCAACUCGACUGCAUGAAGCCGGAGUUGCUAGUAACCGCAGGUCAGCAAUACUGCGGUGAAUACGUUCCCGGGUCUU
rnacentral:rRNA from 1 species